CAGAAUUUGUUCUAAUUCAACAGAUUUUGAAACUUCAAAAUACCUUGUGUGCUAUUUUGCGUAAUGCACAUGUCUAACCUAAAGUGUGUUUGUAAUUGUAGGAAAAUAGCUAGUGGUACCUCAGUUUUUAUCUACAUUCCUGGCUCGAGAUGAAUGUGGACUGAAAAUAUACACCUUCAUUGCAGAAGGAGAAAAUGAAUUUCUGUUCACAGUGGGAAAUGAUAAUUACGUUUGCCCUGUAUGUUGCUAAAAUAUGUCAAUAAGGAAAAGUAAGUAUUUGGAACGACACAACAAUGCACAAUGAAUUAAAAGGUGUUUUUCAUGAGAAUAGCACGCCUUGGACAAAGAAAGUUGACAAGUUGAAUGCCACUUUGAAAACUCAGCAGUCAUUUUAUCUAAGAUAGCAGCAAAGGAUCAGAAAGGCCUGUAUUGAAGCAAGAUUUCAACUUUGCCAUCCUCUGGCAGAAGAGAAAUCAUUCAUAGAUGGCAAAGUAAUUAAAGAAGCAAUCACUGUCGCUGCUGACUCAUUAUUUGAAGAUUUCAAAAUCAAAGAAGGAACAAUAACAGCAAUCUAGAGCAAAUUACUUGAUGCUUCUACAGUUGCAAGAGAAAUUGAACUUUUUUCUGAAAAUGACAAUCCGGACUUAAGGUUAGUAUCAGAUAGCAUGUAGCCACAGUUACCAUACUGAGACUUGGUGAGCAGAGGCCAAAUAUAUAUUUAUAUAUAAUUGAUUUUAGACUUAUAUAUAGUGUAAAUUAAAUAUUUUACAAUGCAAUUAAAUUUAGUUCAACAAGUGAUCCUGUGCUUAAAAUGGCCAGAGACCACUAAUCUACGACUGACGGCGCAGUCUCAGAUUAAGUGCUCCCCUGUUUACAACAGAUGAAAAGGAAUUUCUUGAUGUUAGUGAAUCUGUGGAAUUCUUUACAAUGAGGAGUGUAGAGUAUAGCUGAUCUGACUACCUGAAGUACACGUUUUUCACCAAUUAGGGAAUCAAAGCUUAUGGAAAAAGGCAGGAAAGUGGAGUUGAGAAUUAUCAGAUUAGCCACACUCAGUUGUCUCAAUGGGCUUAAUGGUCUUCUGCUCCAGCAUCUUAGAGUGUUAUGGUUUUACUAUAUGAAGCUGCUAUACAAAUACACUUUUUGAGAAUCAGUUAGAUCAGGUUGACUAUGAAUUUAGGUCUCUGAUUUCUAAAUGUAAUACCUUGAGACUAAGAUUAGCUGUGACUAAGGGUCACCAUCUAAUUAUCAGCUUGCUUUGAAGUUUGCUGCCAACAGCCCCUCGCCAGAAACAAUAAUGGCCCAAGUUAGUGAAAGAAAUUAGGCCAGUUCUCGGGAGGCUGUUUUUUUGUUUACUGGAACAUGAUGUGAACUCAUGUAACAGCAGAUUCCUGCCGCACACUUGUUUCCUGAUUUCGAUUUCUCACCUGAUUGUGUUGGAACAGUUCGUGCGUUUCAAACAGAUCACCACCGAUUUCCUUGCUGACAAUUAGUUCUUGCGGUGAAACAAAGCUCUUUGUGGAGGGAGAAGGUUUAAUUUAAAAUCAAUCUAUGCAUCAGAACAUUGCUCGUUGGAAGGAGAUGAUGAUUUGAUUCCUCCACUUGAACAUUGCAUCAGGACAAAGUGGAAGGGAGCAUUUGUUGACUGGAAUGGAACGGACCCAAUUCUGUGAGAAGCUCGAUUAUCGUCUCUGAGGUUGAACCUGGAUCAUGUGGCCCGGGGGACUGAGAGGUGCAAAAACCAAACACCAACACCUUCGCUUCUGAAGUGCUGCAGAUAAUAGCAGGAUAGAUCUUAAAAUGUGUCUGUCAUCGGAUGGCACCCAACAACACCUCCAUCAGUUAAUUUACCUCAUUUCUUCUGAACGUGUAGCGGUGGGGGUUGGGGGAAAAGUGGAGAUUGUGAGUUGAAGGCCGUAAAUUCGGGAAAGUAGUGACCUGGCUUAUCUGCCAGUCUCCCAAAUGAACUGCCAGAAUGUGAUAUUUGGUAUGCUACCAUGCCUAUUCAAUUCGGGUUAUUCUAUAGGAUUGAAGAUCUUCCCUAUUGUUAAUAACGUGGAACCCAAAGUGAAAAUUAGACACUAUCAAAAUGGGCAAGUUUGUUGGGCAAGGUUAAUGGCCUGUGGCAGUGCUGAAGGGGCUGAGCGCUGUAGGAGAUGCUGAGUGAUUCUCUGAAAAGUUGUCUUGGAUUCAGCAAAUGCAACCUUUUAGAGGGUUGUGUUCAAUUUUAUCGUUUUUUUUGUUUUAAACAAUUUAAGAAAUUACUGAAGUAGGAAAUUGGACCAAAACCAAUUUUUCCUGUUCAAUAAGGAUGCUAAAGGCUCUGGUUCGAUGGGAGAUCGCAGGUUCACAGUUGCUUGAUAGUGACUUCAGUAAACUCAUGAAUGCCUUUUACCUGUUAGCCACCAUACUAUCCACUUGUUGCUAAAAACAAUAAUGUUGCAUGUUUAAAAGAAAAAUGGCUUUUAUUAGCUCAUGCAGCUAAUUUUUUUAGAUCAUGAGUUACAACUUAUGAUUUCCACCGAGAUAGUAGAGGUCAAAGGUUGUACCGUGUACCUUAAAAGAAUGGUCAACAUGGACCAGAAGCUGGAGUUUCGAGGCUUUACCUGAGCAAAGCCUCAGGACACAUUUCAAUAAGUGAGGCAACUUUAUUGUACCCUUAGAAGCAGCUGGCCACUGUACUUCAGUCUGGUUAGAGCUAGGUCUCUUGCUGGCAGUGGCCCGCAGUGAACGAGAUGUAGGGAUGGGCCAAUAUGUGGUGUACCUUCCAGGCUGCACAGCAACCUGUAAGUUCUGGAAUUGACCAUACACUGCAAAAGAAUUUGAAAUCCCUUUAGGAGCCCACAUAAUUAUGCCGUGUGUUGAUGGAGUAAUCCUGAGCAGAAGAGUCCCUACAGGCUGCUCUGCCCUGUUCAGAUUCUGGGACACAAUCUUGGGCAUCUGACUGUGAAACCUGGCAAACCAUUUCUGCCAUGAGAUGGUGCCCAUAACAUUGACAUAAUUCAAAUUCAUACUGUACCAUGUUCCUUUUUCCCCAAUGAGGAGCAUUUUCUCCCACCUCACUGUGGUUGAAAAAUAAAGGGAAUAGUGUAAUGUUUCUUUGUUCCCAAAUAGAGUCUGAGAAUUUUUAGGAACGAAAAAUAAACCAACAGACCUCAAAGCCUGAUCCUACUACCCUGUUAUGAUUUUUCUCUGUGUUCCUUAAAGAUAUUUAUUUCAAGUAAGCAUCUAUCCCUUUAUUUGCUGCCCUAAUUGAUUUUGUAUUUACAUCCUACUGGUUCAGUGUUUUUAUGUUUGUCUUGAUUCUGCUUUUAAUCAAGGAUUCAUCUACAAAAAGUGUCUUCUCCACAAACUGCAGGUUGAUACAAACAAUUUCAUGACUCCCUUUUUUGAGGAGUUGCACUUUUUCAAGUAUGUGUUGGCUAGCAUUUGUUACUGAAGCAACUUGACCAGCACCACUAAAACCGAUGAAUGGCCAUUUUGAUUUCAUAGCAACCUAUGGGAUCUUGGCCUGUAUAAGCUGAUUGCCAUCUUUGACAAGUUGAAGAUUCAUCAGCUCGGAAGCAUUUUGGGAUGUCUUGGAUCUAUAAAAGGAGCUGCAUUACUUGACAUUGUUCUUUUCAUUCUCUCCUUCCUUCCUUCCUUCAUCUUUCCCAAGGAUUACAUUUCACUAAAUUCAAUCCAGUGGUGUCAUCUUCCAAACUCAACCCCACCUUACCACCUCAUAGGACAGCCUUAGGGCCUCAUCACUACCAGCUCAGACAUUAUUCUGCUGGUUUCAGCCCGAAUGCCAGUGCUGUUUUACAUAUAUAAGCCCUUGGAGUAAAAUGCCUGCGUCCCAACCCGCUUUCCAUCUGUUGAGCAGGAUUACCUCCUAUUCCUUGUGCUUCGUUUUGAGCUGGCAAGCCUGUUGUGCAGAGCCUUUUAAACGUGACAGAAAUAAAAAUGUUCCCUAAUCAGCUUCUGCGUUUAGUGCACUUGCCUUAAAUGUCCGCAUGAUAAAGUUGUUUACAGUAAUCUCCAGCCUCGUGUUGUAUAACUGGUUGUCAAGGAAUUAAAAAGCAGCCAUUAUGUUUGGCUUUGUUGGAUAUCUGUUGCCUUUAAUUUGUUUGAUGCAAGAAAUGUGCAUGUGUGUGCACAAAUAUGUGUAUUAAUGUAUGUCUGAGUCUUCCUGGUUAUUACAUGGAGCCAAACAAUGAGAGACCGAGCUGUUGUAUUAUUUUGUGUGCAGUAAGUUGAUGCUGUGGACUUUCUGAAGAAUUGCUGUUUUGUUUGUAAGAGUGAAAUGAAAUAAUGGUUAAUUUAUUGAAAACCUUUCAUUUGUGUCCUGUGCCACCUGUACACACCAAUAAUGCCUUCACGUGCUGCAGAAUAAAAAGAA